rnacentral:sRNA from 1 species
GUGAGCCACCGCACCCAGCCAAUUUUAAAUGUUUUAUAUUUUGCUCAUCAUGGAUAUUUUAAUUGCCUUGUAUUUCUUACAUGUUGUAUUAAAAUAUUUAUUGUUAUUACCGUUUUUUGCUGCCCUGGUAAAUUUUGCACACCUGCCUUACUCAGUCCCGAGCCCUGGCCUGGGUCCUGAUGAUCAGGUAUAUCCUCAGGGUGAACUGACAGGCCCCUACCCACCCCUGGGGGCGGAUCCUCAUAUGAGUUUAUUCUCUUGCCUGUUUCUUAGCACCCCUUUCCCCCAAAGACUCUGUCCACUAUGGACAUUAAAAUGUGAGUGAACAUGAGAUUGGGGCUCUGAUGAAUUGGGAAACCGUAACAUACAGGCAACCACCCUUCCUUGCCCAUCGUAAAAUGGAGCACCACUUUUUGGCCACUAUCAGCUUGUUCUUUGUUGUUGCUCAAGGGGUAAAGAGAGCCAGGGUUCCCACUUCUGCCCUUGGUCUUUUGUAGGUUACUUUGGAAGAAGUCAACUCCCAAAUAGCCCUAGAAUACGGCCAGGCAAUGACAGUCCGAGUGUGCAAGAUGGAUGGAGAAGUAAUGCCUGUGGUUGUAGUGCAGAGUGCCACAGUCCUGGACCUGAAGAAGGCCAUCCAGAGAUACGUGCAGCUCAAGCAGGAGCGUGAAGGGGGCAUUCAGCACAUCAGCUGGUCCUAUGUGUGGAGGACGUACCAUCUGACCUCUGCAGGAGAGAAACUCACAGAAGAUAGAAAGAAGCUCCGAGACUAUGGCAUCCGGAAUCGAGACGAGGUUUCCUUCAUCAAAAAGCUGAGGCAAAAGUGAGCCUCCAGACAGGACAACUCGCUUCAUCACUGGUGGCUGAGCUUUUUCCCAGCAGGAUCGGCUCCUCGAGUCAUUGUGCCUCUUUCACAGAAAGGAUGUCGUGUUGGCCUCACCCCAGGCAUGCCCAACAGGAACUGUCAGCAUAAACCUGGGGGCCCUCAGGACUAGGACAGGGUGAGCCAGUGCUCCCUUCUUUCAUGCACUUGGCCUGAGACUGACCUCUCCCUGGGUCCAAAUGCCCUAGUCACAUGGCAGAGCCACGGCCUGGCCCUGUGUAUAAAAUAAACCUGUUUGCUUCUUG